UUGUAAUGUGCCAGCCGCCGCGGUAAAACGUAGGUCACAAGCGUUGUCCGGAAUUACUGGGUGUAAAGGGAGCGCAGGCGGGAAGACAAGUUGGAAGUGAAAUCCAUGGGCUCAACCCAUGAACUGCUUUCAAAACUGUUUUUCUUGAGUAGUGCAGAGGUAGGCGGAAUUCCCGGUGUAGCGGUGGAAUGCGUAGAUAUCGGGAGGAACACCAGUGGCGAAGGCGGCCUACUGGGCACCAACUGACGCUGAGGCUCGAAAGUGUGGGUAGCAAACAGG
rnacentral:rRNA from 1 species